CAAUAUGCAGUUCUCAUUGGUCAAGUCCACCGCACUCUCCAAAGAUCUUGUUUUCUAACUGACAAAUCCCCCCAGCCAGUCCGCCAGAAACGAGGCUGCUGUAGCACACUUCACAUCCAAUUUCUAUCUAAAGGCUACUUCCGGCCCUGAUCGUCUGAGUUGAUGCUCUUCUCAUGGGCCUCCCUUAAACAUGCGUGCUUCAUGCCUCUUUCCUGUCGUGUAGGGUGAAGAAUAAAGGCUUGGAGAGGGAAGGGAACUUGCAGGACAAUAAAGACCAGCCUUGUCUUCCCGUGGCUAAGGAGUCAGUCCAAAGAUCAGCCGGUGCGCAGACCCAGGAUUCAAAUAUUGGAUAAAGGAUCUGGGCUCAAACACAAGACUACAGUAUCACAAAGUGCAACAUUUAUGACAGAAGAAGGAAGAUCUCAGAGGUUUAGGCUUGUGCCCUACAGCAUUUUUGCCAUCAGCCUUUGGACUGGAGUGGAAAAGGAGGAGAGGAGCCCCACCUUCAUGCUGCAGGAUGUGUCUAGACCGGUAGCCUGAAGCAGUCUCUCGGUGCUAUGGAAGAGAUCCAGCAGCAUCUGCUCCACUAUGAGUGUAUGAUGGUUCUCUGAUCUGCAGAUUCUUUACGGGAAAGGAUUAUAGUUCAUCAUUUUUCAUCCUGUAAUUGAUACACUAACUGCCUAUCGAGACCCAGAUUUCAGAGGCAAAGUACAGCUACUGGCUUUGUCUGCAUAUCUUACUCUGAAAAAAAUUAAAAUGGGUGGAAAAUCCAGUGUGGCAGACACACCAAAGGUGUAAAAGCAAUUCUCAAGUGACCCUUCAGAAGCAUUAUCAAGGCUGCUUUAUGUAAAAGCAUUAAAUGCCAGCCUGGUGAAAAUUUAAGACUGAAUUUGCUGGGAUGGUUACUAUGAAAUAUUACAACUUAAGUGUCUGCUUUUCUGUAGUGUGUGCUACAGUCUGAACAAUUUCUAUCACUUUUGACUUUGGCAAAAUGUUCUUUCUCCAAAAUAAAGCUAA